rnacentral:rRNA from 1 species
GACGAACGCUGGCGGCGUGCCUAAUACAUGCAAGUCGAGCGAAUGGAUUGAGAGCUUGCUCUUAUGAAGUUAGCGGCGGACGGGUGAGUAACAUGUGGGUAACCUGCCCAUAAGACUGGGAUAACUCCGGGAAACCGGGGCUAAUACCGGAUAACAUUUUGAACCGCAUGGUUCGAAAUUGAAAGGUGGCUUCGGCUGUCACUUAUGGAUGGACCCGCGUCGCAUUAGCUAGUUGGUGAGGUAACGGCUCACCAAGGCAACGAUGCGUAGCCGACCUGAGAGGGUGAUCGGCCACACUGGGACUGAGACAUGGCCCAGACUCCUACGGGAGGCAGCAGUAGGGAAUCUUCCGCAAUGGACGAAAGUCUGACGGAGCAACGCCGCGUGAGUGAUGAAGGCUUUCGGGUCGUAAAACUCUGUUGUUAGGGAAGAACAAGUGCUAGUUGAAUAAGCUGGCACCUUGACGGUACCUAACCAGAAAGCCACGGCUAACUACGUGCCAGCCGCCGCCGUAA